GAGUUUCGGCAGCACAUAUACUAAAGCUGGAAUGGUACAGGGAAGAUUAGCAUGGUCUCCUGAGCAAGGAUGCCAAACAAAUUCAUGAAGCAUUCCUUAUUUUU